CACAGAAGGGACGACAUUCAGUUCAGUAAUAUAACAGGACGUCAGGCUUGGAGACUGGAGACGGAUACCACAGACAGCAAACAGGAUGAAGACUAAACGAGGAACCAGGAGACACCUCACUAGGAGAGACACUGGA
rnacentral:lncRNA from 1 species